rnacentral:rRNA from 1 species
AUUGAACGCUGGCGGCAGGCUCAACACAUGCAAGUCGAGCGGAGAGAGGCAGCUUGCUACUGAUCUUAGCGGCGGACGGGUGAGUAAUGCUUAGGAAUCUGCCUAUUAGUGGGGGACAACAUUUCGAAAGGAAUGCUAAUACCGCAUACGUCCUACGGGAGAAAGCAGGGGAUCUUCGGACCUUGCGCUAAUAGAUGAGCCUAAGUCGGAUUAGCUAGUUGGUGGGGUAAAGGCCUACCAAGGCGACGAUCUGUAGCGGGUCUGAGAGGAUGAUCCGCCACACUGGGACUGCGAAACGGCCCAGACUCCUACGGGGGGCAGCAGUGGGGAAUAUUGGACAAUGGGCGCAAGCCUGAUCCAGCCAUGCCGCGUGUGUGAAGAAGGCCUUAUGGUUGUAAAGCACUUUAAGCGAGGAGGAGGCUACUUUAGAUAAUACCUAGUGAUAGUGGACGUUACUCGCAGAAUAUGCACCGGCUAACUCUGUGCCAGCAGCCGCGGUAAAAC